GGGUUGUGAGGUUAAGCGACUAAGCGUACACGGUGGAUGCCCUGGCAGUCAGAGGCGAUGAAGGGCGUGCUAAUCUGCGAUAAGCGCCGGUAAGGUGAUAUGAACCGUUAUAACCGGCGAUACCCGAAUGGGGAAACCCAGUGUGACUCGUCACACUAUCAUUAACUGAAUCCAUAGGUUAAUGAGGCGAACCGGGGGAACUGAAACAUCUAAGUACCCCGAGGAAAAGAAAUCAACCGAGAUUCCCCCAGUAGCGGCGAGCGAACGGGGAGGAGCCCAGAGCCUGAAUCAGCAUGUGUGUUAGUGGAAGCGUCUGGAAAGGCGCGCGAUACAGGGUGACAGCCCCGUACACAAAAGCGCAUGUGCUGUGAGCUCGAUGAGUAGGGCGGGACACGUGGUAUCCUGUCUGAAUAUGGGGGGACCAUCCUCCAAGGCUAAAUACUCCUGACUGACCGAUAGUGAACCAGUACCGUGAGGGAAAGGCGAAAAGAACCCCGGCGAGGGGAGUGAAAAAGAACCUGAAACCGUGUACGUACAAGCAGUGGGAGCNNGUGACUGCGUACCUUUUGUAUAAUGGGUCAGCGACUUAUAUUCUGUAGCAAGGUUAACCGAAUAGGGGAGCCGGAGGGAAACCGAGUCUUAAUUGGGCGUUAAGUUGCAGGGUAUAGACCCGAAACCCGGUGAUCUAGCCAUGGGCAGGUUGAAGGUUGGGUAACACUAACUGGAGGACCGAACCGACUAAUGUUGAAAAAUUAGCGGAUGACCUGUGGCUGGGGGUGAAAGGCCAAUCAAACCGGGAGAUAGCUGGUUCUCCCCGAAAGCUAUUUAGGUAGCGCCUCGUGAAUUCAUCUCCGGGGGUAGAGCACUGUUUCGGCUAGGGGGCCAUCCCGGCUUACCAACCCGAUGCAAACUGCGAAUACCGGAGAAUGUUAUCACGGGAGACACACGGCGGGUGCUAACGUCCGUCGUGAAGAGGGAAACAACCCAGACCGCCAGCUAAGGUCCCAAAGUCAUGGUUAAGUGGGAAACGAUGUGGGAAGGCCCAGACAGCCAGGAUGUUGGCUUAGAAGCAGCCAUCAUUUAAAGAAAGCGUAAUAGCUCACUGGUCGAGUCGGCCUGCGCGGAAGAUGUAACGGGGCUAAACCAUGCACCGAAGCUGCGGCAGCGANNGUUGGGUAGGGGAGCGUUCUGUAAGCCUGUGAAGGUGUGUCGUGAGGCAUGCUGGAGGUAUCAGAAGUGCGAAUGCUGACAUAAGUAACGAUAAAGCGGGUGAAAAGCCCGCUCGCCGGAAGACCAAGGGUUCCUGUCCAACGUUAAUCGGGGCAGGGUGAGUCGACCCCUAAGGCGAGGCCGAAAGGCGUAGUCGAUGGGAAACGGGUUAAUAUUCCCGUACUUGGUGUUACUGCGAAGGGGGGACGGAGAAGGCUAUGUUGGCCGGGCGACGGUUGUCCCGGUUUAAGCGUGUAGGUGUGUGUUCCAGGUAAAUCCGGUUCACUUUAACACUGAGGCGUGAUGACGAGGCACUACGGUGCUGAAGCAACAAAUGCCCUGCUUCCAGGAAAAGCCUCUAAGCA
rnacentral:rRNA from 1 species